AUUGAACGCUGGCGGCAGGCCUAACACAUGCAAGUCGAACGAGUGGCGGACGGGUGAGUAAUGUCUGGGAACCUGCCUGAUGGAGGGGGAUAACUACUGGAAACGGUAGCUAAUACCGCAUACCAUCGGAUGUGCCCAGAUGGGAUUAGCGAGUAGGUGGGGUAACGGCUCACCUAGGCGACGAUCCCUAGCUGGUCUGAGAGGAUGACCAGCCACACUGGAACUGAGACACGGUCCAGACUCCUACGGAGGGCAGCAGUGGGGAAUAUUGCAAAAUGGGCGCAAGCCUGAUGCAGCCAUGCCGCGUGUAUGAAGAAGGCCUUCGGGUUGUAAAGUACUUUCAGCGGGGAGGCGUUACUCGCAGAAAAAGCACCGGCUAACUCCGUGCCAGCAGGCGCGGUAAUUC
rnacentral:rRNA from 1 species